GGCAUCCUGCGAUGCGCGUGAUGGCGCUAUGCGUUUUGAGCCAACACCCACAUUCCGGGGGCCAACGUCUGAUGCGAAGAGUGAUAGGCCUGCGCUGGCCAAGACUUGAUCAUCAGGUGGGUCACCCACCUGCGAAAGCAGGUUCAAAACAUCGUGACACACGGCAUAGCGGGGUUCCU
rnacentral:other from 1 species